rnacentral:lncRNA from 1 species
CGCGGGAGGACUUUGCAUCCCUGUGUAGGGCUCUAAUCUCGGGUUUGGGGAUCUUGCUCCUCAGCUUGUCCGCUCCGAGGAGUUACAAUAAAAAUAGUGAUUGUCUGUGGCAGAGGAGCUGAAUGAAACGAGGGUGGAGACAGGAAGAUCAAGAAUAAAUGGUUUCACAAAUCGAAGGGAUUGUCUCUUGAGACGCUGAUUAUUUCAGUGGCACGAUUUAAUGUUUCCUAGAGGAAAUGUUCUUCCUGGAAAUGAGGAUCAUAACCCAGCUGGCUCCAGAUUUCGGAGCGAGGAGGCACAAAUUCUACAGGUGAGUGGCUGGGUGUGAUAGUAAUAGAGGCUACUCCUGUAUGCACAUAGUCCUACUGGAGACACAAUACUAUAUAUCCAUUUUGGCCCAAUGCAUUUCAGCGCAUAUACCAUAUUCUGAAGAACUGCUCCCAACUUUGCAAGGCAUUACAUCUUAAUCGCAAUUUAGCCCAGUCUUCAACAGGCCAUUCCAAAACCCUAUCUGGCUAGCUGCUUCUGGAUGAUGAGUAUGCACCAUGAAUUUUGUAGCUUCGAGUUCACUGUCACACCUCCUUGGCUAUCGGUGGGUUCCUUAGUUUCAGGUAUGUCAAUGGAUAAGGCACCCUGUAAGCUCUCAGAUGGUGGUGCUGCUGGAGGCAAAGUAGUUGGGGAAGACAAGCUCAUUUAGAGCAUAUAUCAAUUCUGGUAAGAACAAAUUGAUGCCCAUUCCAAGGUAAAAGGGAUCUGAUGCACUCAACCUGGUGGUAGCUGGUAUCUCUAAGACUCAGUGUUGGUCUCUAAUGCUGGCAGGCUGGACACUCCACCAUGGUGAGAGUUACAUCAGCCUUGGUAAGAGGUAGACCAUAUUGGCCGGGCACGGUGGCUCACACCUGUAAUGUCAGCACUUUGGGAGGCUGAGGUGGGUGGAU